rnacentral:lncRNA from 1 species
GUUAGGUGAAAGAUGGUUGUUUAUUUUGUUCAACUGGUGUUCAUGCAAUGAAAACUGCCUAUAAUCAUUUUCCAAUCGAUGAUUCCUGCAACAAGCUCAGACUUAAAAGAGUUAAAGUAACUGGAGGUAAAGAAGUAUGUGAAGGAUUUAAUUUCCCAACUACAGAGUACUCCAAAGAAUUAAAGUUUUGGUGGAUAAGGAUCGAGGAAUAAUAUGGUUUUAACUGGUUUCGAUCUUAUGAACAAAG